rnacentral:rRNA from 1 species
AGUGGAUGGGGAGCAACCUAGUUGUGCGUGUGUAAAGGUAGUGCCAAGAAAAGCGAUGAUCAUGUUGAAAAUCAAUUCCCGGUACCCGAAACCGACACAGGUGGGCAAGUAGAGAAUACUAAGGGGCGCGAGGUAACUCUCUCCAAGGAACUCGGCAAAAUGACCCCGUAACUUAGGGAGAAGGGGUGCCACCGAGAGGUGGUCGCAGUGAAGAGGCCCAGGCGACUGUUUAGCAAAAACAUAGGUCUCUGCAAACUCGAAAGAGGAGGUAUAGGGGCUGACGCCUGCCCAGUGCCGGAAGGUUAAAGAAGUUGGUCAGUUUUAGGAUGAAGCUAGCGACUGAAGCCCCGGUGAACGGCGGCCGUAACUAUAACGGUCCUAAGGUAGCGAAAUUCCUUGUCGGGUAAGUUCCGACCCGCACGAAAGGCGUAACGAUCUGGGCGCUGUCUCGGAGAGAGGCUCGGCGAAAUAGGAUUGUCUGUGAAGAUACGGACUACCCGCAUUUGGACAGAAAGACCCUAUGAAGCUUUACUAUAGCUUGGAAUUGUGUUCGGGCUUCCUGUGCGCAGGAUAGGUGGGAGGCGUAGAAGGUAUUCUUGUGGGGAUACUGGAGCCAACGGUGAGAUACCACUCUCAGGAGGCUAGAAUUCUAACUUAAUUAAGGACAGUUUCAGGUGGGUAGUUUGACUGGGGCGGUCGCCUCCAAAAAGGUAACGGAGGCGUACAAAGGUUCCCUCAGACUGGUUGGAAAUCAGUCGAAGAGUGCAAAGGCAGAAGGGAGCUUGACUGCGAGAAGUACAGUUCGAGCAGGGUGGAAACACGGUCUUAGCGAUCCGACGGUGCUGUGUGGAAGGGCCGUCGCUCAACGGAUAAAAGUUACUCUAGGAUAACAGGCUGAUCUCCCCCAAGAGUUCACAUCGACGGGGAGGUUUGGCACCUCGAUGUCGGCUCAUCGCAACCUGGGGCGGAAGUACGUCCCAAGGGUUGGGCUGUUCGCCCAUUAAAGCGGUACGUGAGCUGGGUUCAGAACGUCGUGAGACAGUUCGGUCCAUAUCCGAUGUAGGCGUGAGAAUAUUGAGAGGAGCCUUCCUUAGUACGAGAGGACCGGGAAGGACGCACCGCUGGUGUACCUGUUAUGAUGCCAAUUGUAAACGCAGGGUAGCCAAGUGCGGAGAGGAUAACCGCUGAAAGCAUCUAAGUGGGAAGCCCACCUCAAGAUGAGUAUUCUGGUGUAAGGUCACGGGAAGACGACCCGUAAAUAGGCACGAGGUGGAAGUGCAGAGAUGUAUGAAGCCGAAGUGUACUAAUAGACCGUCGGCUU